CGGAGGGUGCAAGCGUUAUCCGGAUUUACUGGGUUUAAAGGGUGCGCAGGCGGAUAUGUAAGUCAGUGGUGAAAUCUCCGGGGCUUUAACCCGGAAACUGCCGUUGAUACUAUAUAUCUUGAAUGCUGUGGAGGUAAGCAGAAUAUGUCAUGUAGCGGUGAAAUGCUUAGAGAUGACAUAGAAUACCUAUUGCGAAGGCAGCUUACUACGCAGAUAUUGACGCUCAUGCACGAAAGCGUGGGGAUCAAACAGGAUUAGAUACCCUGGUAGUCCACGCCCUAAACGAUGAUUACUCGACAUACGCGAUAUACAGUGUGUGUCUGAGCGAAAGCAUUAAGUAAUCCACCUGGGAAGUACGAUCGCAAGAUUG
rnacentral:rRNA from 1 species